CUGAGGACAGCUCCUAGAAUGGAGUUCCAAUGGACAUAGCCAAUUCAGUUAUGCAUUUUUUAGUGGCUUUUCCUUCCUCUAUUUCUGCUUCACGUUCCCCCAAAUCACCUACUAUAUACACGAUCUACUUCUGUUCCUACUUUCAGAAGAUCCCAAAAAUAGAUGGAUAAACUAGUCAGCUGCUGGAAAAGGCUGGCUUUGUAAAUAAAAUGAAAGGUAGUAAUAAGGAAGAGUGUGAGGUGAGCUGAACCAAGAGCAGACAUUUGUUGAGUAUUUAUUACGUAUUAAGCAUUCAGAAAGUACUCAAUACAUCCAUCUAGAUCAAACGACAUGCCUAAGGAGACCGCCUUUAGAUCGCCUUCAUUGUGCCAAGCUUUGGGCCAUCAUGUUAAAAAGCAGAUGUGACAUUAAGAAAAUUAUUGAUGUGUGGUAUUUCUAAAUAGAUUCUGCCCUAAAAUGUAAGAUAACUCCAAAGAUAAUCUGUGAGAAAUAUAAGAACCCCUCAAUGUCUUUUUGUUCCGUUUCUUCAUCACAGGCAUGUAAAGAUUCUGGUCUUUCCAUACUCCCGAGAUACUUAUACGAAGAGAGGAGUUGCUGUUGGACAAUAUCUAGCCAAAAAUACUCUGUGUACUCAUGUGACGCCUAACAAAAUGCACUAUGCUUAUUGAUUCUGUUGAAGUCCAGUUGUGUACAGAGUCUCUAUUGAGUUUGGGUCUGUGUGGUAAAGCCUGGGACUAAGUCCCAUUUAAAUACAGAAUGUUCCUAAGAGGCAGAACACUGUGAUGUUAAAGAGAAUAUCCCUGGGAUAUCACCUUGCUGGCCCCGAAGAGUUAUGGUGGAUAUUCAGUGCCUCUCCAGUGCUAUGAAGAGACGCCAUGACCACGGCAACUCUUAAAAAGGAAAACAUUUCAUUGGGGCUGGCUUACAGUUUCAGAGGUUUAGUCCGUUAUCAUCAAGGUGGGAAGCAUGGCAGCCACCAGGCCAACAUGGCGCUGGAUAAGGAGCCGAGCAUUCUACAUCUUGGUCUGCUUGGAAAAAAGAAGAAGACCGUGCUACACUGGGCAGAGCUGGAACAUUGGAGACCCUCACAGUGACACACUUCCUCCAACUAGGCCACGCCUACUCCAACAAGGCCACGCCUACUCCAACACGGCCACGCCUACUGCAAAAUGGCCAUACCUCCUAAUAGUGCUACUCUGUUGGUGUUUGUCUUGUGCAUUGUGUAUUCAGAAGCUGAGUGAGUUCUGUGCUCCUCACCAGACUGCAACACAGUCUUGGAGUGUUGUAUUAACCUAGGUACUAUAAAGACUGCUCUCCAAUAAUUCCUGAAUGGUCAAUAAAUGGCUGGGGCUUAUGGCUGGGCAUAAUGGAUAGGAAAGUGAGACUUAGGAUUGAGUAAAGGGGUCUUGAGAGAGACCAUGAAAAGGAGAGAGAAGCCAGAGAGGAGGGGGCAGUCAUUAGAUGGGAUGGACCAUCAGGAACACAUGGACAAGAGAAGUUUACUCUGAGGAUAGGCAGAUGGAGCAGAAGCAGCUCAGGAAACAUUAUAUUUGCAAGUGACUGGCAUUUGUGUGGGUUUUAACAAGUGGAAAAAAAUUAGAAUAGCUCAGUCAAAGGUGGGAAACAACCCCAUCCCUUAUAGGUAUUUACGAGUAAAAAGGAGUGCAGCAAUCCCUCAGAAAAAUAAAAUAAUUCAAUACCGCUCCCUAUGGGCCAAACAUUCAAACACACAUGUCUAUGGGUGCCAUCACGACACUACCACAGCCCACACUUACGUCACUCUCUAUGACUCUAUGACUUCUCUAUGGCUCAAAUGGAAAGGAUUUGGAAAUAUUUUCUCCACCUUUCUCUUCCUUCAAACCUUGUGUCCAAAGAUCCUCAUUCACUAACCAGAGCCUCAGGCAGGAAAUGACUUCUGGAGUGGAGACUCCAGAAGCAGUCACUUAAUGCCCUUGGCCUAGUCUCUGAAACAGAUUCUCACAAGUAACAGCAGGAUCUUUCCCUGAGGUAAUAUGACGACCAAUAUUAGCCAUUUUAAGUUCAUUCUCCAUUACCAUUUGUCCCUGAAACCUUGCCUUUGUCCCAGCUCCUCUCAAUGAAUCCCACUCCAGACUUUCCCUCUGUCCAUCACAGUUCUGUCAGUCUCUAUGAGCGUGGCCACUCAUGCUGGUGGAAUCACACUCUAUUUGUAUCUUUUGGACUAGCUUAACUCACUUAGCCUGUGCUCAGUACCCGGGUGUUUAUCGUAAGCUACGGCUAGCUUCGUUCACUUAGCGCGUCAUCAGUAUUCAUCGCCAGAGCCGGAAGCAGCCUCUUAGACACUGGCUAAGACCCCAUUGUGUCUACCACAUUCUGUUUACUUACUCAUCUGUGCAUAAACAUUUGCUAUGACAAGGAAAGUGCAGCUACAAUUGCACUACACUGCUUUACAGACGUCUAUGAGUCCUUGCUGUCAAGUUUUUCAUAUGUGCAUUGGGAUGAGGUUUGCCAUUGUAUAUUGUGUGUCAGGGUCUUUUUUGGGGGAGGAGGGAACCAUUAUAGUUUUUCAGUGUAUCAUCAUUUUAUAUCCUAACUAGUAGUGCACAAGUGUCUUAAUUUCCCCCACAUAAUACUUACUACUUUCCAUUUUCUUGUCAUUUGGGUCAGUUUUAAUAAUAGCCAUCCCAGUGGGUAAGAAGUGGCAGCCCACUGUGAUGUAUUCUAAUUUCUCUGGUGGCUGGAGGGAUUGGGCGCCUAUCCCUGCACUUCCUUCCUGGUAAUUUCUAUACAUUUUGGAAAAAUAACAUUUCAAGUUCUUGCCUCUCUUUAAAAUUGGGCUCUUCAUUUCUGGAUUUAAGGGAUUCUUUAUGUGUUCUUGAUAUUGACCCAUAUUUACUUAUGUGAGCUGCAAAUGUUUCCUUCCAUUGAAAGGAUUUCCAUUUCACUCUUGAGUGUCCCUGACUCUGCCAGCAUUUUUUUUUUAUAACAGGGAAAACCAUUCACUAGCUUUAUUUUCUCCUCUUUCACCAGAGAAGCUAAAAUGCUUCCUACAUGUAAAUGUAACUGUGAAAAUUUGGGAAAACAUUCUGUUGUUGUAGAGAUACAUUAGUAUUAGAAAGGACAAUAAAGGCUUGGAGGCAAGACCCAAACAUUAAUAAAAGUUGUAGAGACAGAACGGACAGUAAUUAUUGUAGAGACAGGAGAGUGAUACAAGAAACUAUAUUAAAGAUUAGAAGUAAUUCUGUACCUCAAGCUAAAUAGUAUCUAGAAAGGCAGACCAUAAAACAACAUAACAGACGUUAUUUUACACGCAUGACAAAUGUCAUGUUAAGAAAAAAAAUACCUAUCUUCUGAAGAGUCUUUCAGUGUGAAAUUCCACUGUUUGUACAUUGUUUACACGUAAUUGUUUUUAAGUGAGGGUGACUCUUUCAAUACCAUAUGCCAUAUAAAUCGAUUAUAUUUAAAAAUAACGCUUAUCUCUAGGAUAGAACAGCUCCAAUGUCUACAACCCAAUGAGCUGAAAAAGGUUACAAAAAACCAAAUUUACUAAGAGUUUCUCUUUGGAAUUGAAAAACUGAACUUUUACCUAAUACAGAAUAAUGUCAUGUAAUUCUGAUAAAAAGAAUGAAAAUUGGUAUGAUUUGGUAAGUGCUUUUCAAAGAACUAAAUGUGAAAGGGACAGUAAAAUUAAGUAAAAAUAGAUACGUUAGUAUAUUUUAGUGUAAAAACAUUGAACUUAAUGUUACCUGAAAAACAUUGUUAGGAUUAAUGUUCAAAGGUUCUUGUUAACACAGUCCAGAAGUUUCUUUGUUGUUCGUGUUACUUUUAGUACACACAUGAACAGAAAUGGAAGCUUUCUGUGAAAUUGUAUUUUAAGGCACACAAUUAAAAUUUUAUUGGCUGUAAUUUCUUCUUCCACUCCACAAACAUUCAUUAAUCACUUACUAUUUGCAUAUCAGUGUAGGAGUAAAAACGAAGUCAAAUUAGUAGUUGAGAGUUAAGUCACGGGUCUUAUUCUCAAUGUAUUUUAUGGGAUAGUGACGAAACACUAGAGUUUGUGGAAACAGCCAUGCUCCUGUAACUGAAUACAGUAAGAAAUUAACAGCUAUUGUGUCUAUCUGACCUAGUAUGCCUCGCAUUGGUCACAAAGUUAAGGAAGUGAAAAACUGUGUUUCCUCUAAACACACACACACACACACACACACACACACACACACACACACACACACACACACCGAGAGAGAGAGAGAGAGAGAGAGAGAGAGAGAGACAGAUGGACAGAUGGACAGAUGGACAGACCUCUGCCAGCAUUUUUAAUCUUGAUGGCAACCAAUUUGUCAAUUUUCCAACUCAUAGCCUUAGUUUUCAUCUAGAAUCAUGGUCUUCUGUCUGUCUGCCUUCUCCCCCACCCCCUCCUCUGCCCUUCUCCCUGCCUCUCUGCCUCUCUAAUCUCCAUUACAAAUCUCUUUGUCUCUGUUGGACUGGUCCUCCCUCCCUCUUCCUCCCUCUGCCCUCCUCAUCAUCUCCCCUCCUAGAUCUUCUUUCCCUCCCUUUGCUUUUCUUUCUUUCUCUGCCUCGGUCUCUCUGAUAAGGUUUUGCCAUGUUAUCCCGGUUUUCCUAAUCGGGAUCCCUCCUAGCUCCUGGAAUGCACCAGCUGCACUGACUUUGGAGCUCGCAUUUCAAACCUAAUCUGUUUCUUCUGAUUCUUAGUCAGAUCUGUUAUCGACUGCAUUCCUGGCUGUGAUUUUGAUUCUGAAGUGCUGUAGUCUGGAGUUUAUCUAGGUUUUUUGGGACUGAAAUAAACAUAAUUUUGUAAGCUUAAGAAAAUAUUAAAAUAGUUACUUUCACAGAUCUCUCGUAAGUUUCAUAACCAUGCCAUUUGUCACUAGGACCCUUCUUGACAAGCUUCAUCAUUAAUGAGCUGUUGCAACUAUGAACACAUUUCUUCACUCCCCGACCAGCAAUCAUUGGGGACAGAGGGAGGGCAACAGGAUCUCUCUGCAUAGACUCCCUAUGUAGAUAGACCAGGCUGGCCUCAGACUGUCAGAAAUCUGCUUGCCUCUGCCUCCCAAAUACUGAGAUUUAAGGGGUACACACCAUGCCAUUUAAAAAUGAUUCUUCAUAUAUGAGACCAAUUUUAAAUCAUUCUGAAUAUAUACAUACAUCAUGAUUGAAAUGUUAGCAUAAAAAAGAACUGGCCUAAGAUAGCUCUGGUGAAAUAAUAUCAGAAAAAAGAUCUACCUAUAAAUGACUUUCAACUGCUGUUCAUUGAAUCAGAAAAAAACUGCCAGGUGUGGUAGCAUGUGUCCAUAAUAUUAGUACAGAGGAAGCAGAUGCAGAAGGGUCACGAGUUUGAGACCAGUCUAAACUAAAUAGCAAAUUUCAGGCAUGGUGAGAUCCUAUUUCAGUAAUAUGCAGAAAUUGAGGUUUAAUAUUGUUAUGCUUUAUAAUGUGGUAUAAUGCAGCAGAACGGAGCACCUCAGCAGGCCAUAUCAAGAUGUCCAUCUGAGGAAUUACACCAUAUGACAGGCCUAGUAUAAAGUUUAUUUGGAGAAAGGGAAGGGACUUGGAAAAAUGAUAGAGGCAGAGAAGAAAGCAGGGGCAGAAGAGGACAGAGAGAGGAGAGAGGAAGAGAGGAAAAGGCCGGCCAGGAACACGUGGGAAUGGAAAGAGAAAGAAGAUGGAGAGUGAAGGCAGGGAAAAGAGGGAGGUGUGGUAAUGUGUGGUCAUCUUAUAGCCGGCCACACCUGGCUAGUAGUACCUGGGUACCUGGUGGCAGGUGAUGAUAUAAGUUGUUGCUAGGUCACUGUUGCUAGGUUCCUGGGAAAAGCCUAGUGGAAUUGUCUGUAAGCCAACAAAUAUGGGAUAUAAUUCUAGCUCUCUUAUUAGUUGAUUUGAAAAUUUGGGCAAAUCUGGAUUUCUGAUCUUCAGUGGGUACAAAACUAAGAGAUUAGGUGUAGGCUCAAAUUUUCCUUUCACCUCUAAUAGCUAACAAUUCUUUUUAUUUAAUGUUUAUUCCUCUACCUGCUUUCAGUUACUUCCUCUAUACCAGUCUGUACCUGUGAUGGACCAAGGUUCUGCAUUAGUAUGAACCUUGGGUUCUUGGGUAGUAUUGGCAUAAUCCUGAUGCUUUUACCUAUUGUGUGAAUGGGUGUGAAUUCCUCCUCAGAGAGAAAUUCUAGAAUGUACCAGAUUUCUAGAAUGCACCAGAUGAUGACUUAUCAUUGUUCACCUUCCAUCACUACAUAAAACACUUGAGACAACAGUUUUGGGACCUCCAGUCUUAAGAUCUGCAGACCCAUUCGAUGGUGGCUCUGGUACGCCUGGAAGACAGUGAUGAGUGCAAGCAAGUGGCAGAGCAAACUCGCUCUUGUCAGGGCCACAUGUGCAUCGUGCAGACUUCACCAUUCCUCCACUGUAUCAUUCUGGAGCCAAGCCCUUAAAAUAUGGAUAUUCGGGGGAUGUUCAUCCGAAAUAUAAUACCCACCUACAUUGAUUCCAAACAGAGGCAUGGCUUCUGGUAUCCUCUUGAAGGCAACUGAAUUUAUUCUUCUAUUCUGGGUAUGGUUAUUGUUCCUCUUCUACAUUUAACUGGACUGAAGAUCUCCAUGGAGAUAUCCUACAGGCAUCUCAAAGGUUAUCAUGUGUUAAACAUAUCUGUCCCUACAGUUCCUUUUCUGAAGUGAUCUCUUUGACUGCCCUGUUUUCCCCAGCCUGCAUGUGCUGUUUGCCCAUUCCCACCCCUUUCUUUUUCUUAAAUAUCACUGACAUAUUUAAGGUGGUAAUUCCUCAUAUCUUACCUACUAGGGACAAUGGACUCCUCACCCUUGUAGGUGUCUCUGUGGUCCACUUUGCUCAGUCACAAGGGUUUUGGACCAGAAAUGCAAAUCCAAUUAUUUCAUUUUGCUUGCUUAAGGCUUUUCAGGGGCUCAUCCACAUCAUCAAAAUAAGCUCCCAAAGUGUCAUCGUCAAGGUGCCUAAGUCUUCCCACCCACCAGUCAUCUUGACACCUGCUCUGACACACUAGUAUCCUGACACCCCAUUCGAACUUUGCUCUGGCCACAUCGCACCACCUGAUGUUUCCUAAAUAGGCUGUGCUUCUCAACCCUGUCCCUAGUUAAUCCCAGGGCUCAUUUUUCCUUUCUCUCUCUGAAACAUGUGUCCUUCAACAGGCUGUUUAAAUACCACCUUUAUCAAGUUGUGAUGCCCUCUCAGGCACUCCAAGCCUAGCCGAAGUGCACCCCCCAAAAGUUCCUUUACAAUGCCUUAGUGGCAUUGUGUAUUCUUUACCAGUCUGUCCUUUCCACUACACCGUUGCCACCCUCAGGACAGACACUGGUGCACACAGCCUCAAGACCAAGAACCCAAUAGCACUUCGUGACAACUUUUGAAUGAAUAUCUUAUGACAGAAGCUGGCACUGUGCGAAGAUUUGUCUAACUGGCACCCCUCCUUUUCCCUUGUGUUAUACAUACCUUCUUUAAAAGUGAGCUUCUGUGUGAUGGGAUCAUAAGGGUGUUACUUUACACCACUAGGAUGACUUAAUAAUAAACAUAAUUCUAUGUAAA